UACGUGUGGUCCGAGCGUUGUCCGGAAUGACUGGGCGUAAAGGGUGCGUAGGCGGAUGCAUAAGUCAGGUGUGAAAUCCCCGAGCUCAACUUGGGAAGUGCGCUUGAAACUAUGCGUCUCGAGACUGUCAGGGGUAGGCGGAAUUCCCGGAGUAGCGGUGAAAUGCGUAGAUAUCGGGAAGAACACCGGUGGCGAAGGCGGCCUACUGGGGCAGUUCUGACGCUGAAGCACGAAAGCGUGGGGAGCAAACAGG
rnacentral:rRNA from 1 species